GAUGCCAAAAAAGCAGUGCUCAGAGGGAAAUUCAUAGCAAUACAGGCCUUCCUCAAAAAAGAAGAAAAAUCUCAAAUCGACAACUUAACCCAGUACCUAAAUGAGUUAGAAAAAGAAGAAUAUACCUUUGUUUUUAUGUUCAUUACUCCAGGAGAUACAUCUGAAAAGAUAUUGCUGUGAUUUAUGUCAAUGAGUGUUCUACCUAUGUUUUCCUCUAAGAAUUUUAUGGUAUCUGGCCUUAUGUUUAGGUCUUUAAUCGUUUUGAGCUUAUUUUUGUGUAUGGUGUAAGAGACUGUUCUCAUUUCAUUCUUUUACAUGUGGCUGUCCAGUUUUCCCAGCACCACUUACUGAAUAAAUGUCUUUUCUACAUUUUAUAUUCUUUUCUCCUUUGUUAUAUGUCAGUGGACCACAGGUGCUGGGUUUAUUUCUGGGCUUUCUGUCCUGUUCCAUUAGCUAUAGUUAUGUUUUUGUGUCAGUACCAUGAUGUUUUUUUUUUUUAUCACUGUAGUUUUGUAGUAUAGUCUGAAGUCAGGGAGCCUGAUUCCUGUUUUUCUUUUUCAAGAUUUCUUUGGGUAUAGGGUUUUUUGUGUUUCUCUACAAACUUGACUUUUUUUUGUUCUAGUUCUGUGAAAAAUUCCACUGAUAAUUUCAUAGGAUUGCAUUGCAUCUAUAGAGUUCCUUGGAUAGUGUAGUCAUUUUGACAAUAUUGAUUCUUCCAGUCCACAAGCAUUAUAUAUCUUUUCAUCUGUUUGUGUCAUCUUCAGUUUCUUUCAUCAGUCUCUUAUAAGGAGGACCCCACAUUUUUGAAAAGAUUCAGCUGAUAUAUUGGGUUAGGAAAGUUUAGGCAAAAUGUGUGGUUACUUUUUUCCACUUCUGAUUUUUAAUCAUGUAUAUUUCCUUGCACUUCCAAUGUGGUUUCCUGCAGAAUUAGAGCAAAUAAAAUUAAUAUUCCAUAAAAAGUUCCAAAAAUAACCAAACCAGUCAGAGACCAAAGGUAUUAUUCCACUUUAGGUUGCCAGAAUUUUCACGUAGUGUUGCCAACAAGGCAGGUGAAAGACAAUGUUUUCUUUUGUUUACUUUUUGGGCUGCAUAGUGUCCACUUUGUGUGAUUUAUUGAUGCUGAGUAUAAAUCAAAUUGAUGGUGGAUUUCCAAGUAUUACUAAAUGGCAGGCACAAUUUGUUUCAGUUAUAAAAGUGGUUUGUCAAUCUCAUAACAUUCUACCUUUCAAAGAAUAUAUUCCAUUAACACCCCUGCCCUCUACAUACACCUCAAAUGCUAUAGGACAUGAGGUUGAAAUGCUAUAUCAAUUAGUUACCUAUAGCAUUUUCCACGACUGCUAAACAGCAGCAAUUUUGGACUUGUACAAUACUUUGUAGUUAAUAACUUCAUAGUGACUAUUUCAUGUGAUUUUAUAAAAGGCAUCAUCCUAUAAGGCAAGGCAAAUAUAAUUGGCUCCAUUUUAGGAAUGAAGAAACAUGCUUGGUUUUCUUUCUCUUUUUUUGUCAUUUAUCUUUUUUAUUGUUGUUAUGUUUCUUUUUUUUUAAUUUAUUUUUUUCCCACUGUACAGCAAGGGGAUCAAGUUAUCCUUACAUGUAUACCUUUAAAAACUCAAUAUCAUUCAGCUUUAAUUUCUAUCCAUAAGCUGAGGAAAUGGACCCUUGCUCCUGUUUUGGAAAAUUGUAUUUGACAAUUUUCAACAAUAGGUCCUUCUAAGCAGGGAGGGAAUUUUCUACCUUGGCGGGAGUCAGGCAACCUUUGUGUGAUGGCCACCUGAGUGACUCAGUAUAUGCAGAAGCAUGAAGUCUUUAAACCCAGGCUGGAGGAUAUCAUGAAUAUGAAUAUAUUUGAUACUUCUGAUGCAUCAUAGUUUAAGUGUACAAUGGAGGGUGACUUGUAUUUAAAUACCUAUUUUAAUGACCACCUUAUUUUAAUAAUGGAAGAAAUAGAAGGUCUGUAAUUGACUCUGACAUAAUAAGUUAAAAAAUGAGACCUGUGGUGUAGGGCUUUGAUACUUGAGGAUAAUCAAGGCCAACAGUAUUAGCCUUCUUAGGGAGCUGAGUAGAAAUGCACAGUCCCAGGGCCACCCCAGAUCUACUGAGUCAUACCUUGUAUUUUAACAAGAUAUCCAGGUGAUUCAUGUGCACAGGGUUGGCUUAAGGGCUGUGUGAGCAGUGACUGCACAGGGUCCUAUCUCAGAGGGGUGCCCUGUGCUUGAGGUAUAAUGCUUUGUGGUCACCAGCUUAACAUCUUACUAAUUUUGUCUUUGAAAUUCUGUUUUGUAAUUAAACUCUGGUGGAACACUGGAGCAUGCAGGGGUAGUGGGGGUUGGGAGUCUCAGCUCAUACAUAGGUCCACAUCCUGCCAUGAUGGCCACUGGCUCCCUUGCCCCCACCCAGUGUCCACUACUGCCCUUUGCCCUUAAUGGGUAUUUGAGCAUUUGUGUGGAUAGGUCAGGGUCAGUUGUGUAUGCCCCAUGUACCCAACUAUGGUUGAGCUCUGGGCACUUUUGAAGGCCUGCACUGACUUUAUGAAUAUACCUGUGUGAAAGCAGCCCAGUGUUAAAAGCAGAUAAAAAU
rnacentral:lncRNA from 1 species